GGGCGAGUGGUGAAACUGGCAGACACGUACGCUUCAGGUGCGUAUGACCGCAAGGUCGUGGAGGUUCAACUCCUCUCUCGCCCA
rnacentral:tRNA from 1 species